AUGGAUGCCUUUCCUCUCUUUUCUGACAUUCCCCAUUAUUCUGCCUUUCCAGUGCCUCCCUGGGACCAUUGCACCAUGAAGCUUCUUGCUGUUUUCCUCAGCUUAGCCGCCAUCAUAGGUUCUGCUUCAAGCGAUGAACCUGUCAGCACCGUCCUGACUUGGAAGCAGAUCCUCAGCCCCUUUGAAAGUUUCAAGCUACCCGAAGAGAUCAGCACCCAGGCCACCGACAAAUUCAACAGAGUCCAAAGCCACCUGGCGGAACUGAAGGACCAACUUCUGCCGGCCCUCCAAAAGGUGACGGAGGACCUACAGGAGCUGAAUCGGAAGAUGCAACCUUUCGCAGAAGCUCUGGACGAGAAGUUGCGGAGUGGCAUCACCAAAGUACAGGAGCGCGUAGCCCCUUACACCGAGAAGCUGCAGGAGCAGGCAGAGCAACGGAUGGAGACCUUGCAGCAGACCCUGGCCUCUGGCAGGGAGAAGCUGACACAGAACGUGGAGGUUAUUCGAGCCCAGCUGGAGCCUCUUGUGGACGACAUGAAGGCCAAAAUCCAACAGCAGACCCAGGAGCUCCGCCCCGUCAUCCAGCGACUUCACGGCAAUCUCAGGCAGACCUACAAAAGCUUGCAAGACUGCGCUGAAGACUUCCCGGGUUGCCUGGCCAAGUUUAUGCUGCCGCCCGAGUGAGAACCUGGUCUAGUAACCAAGGGGUGAGCAGCAGGAUAAGGAUGGAUGGAGUCUGGCUUUUGUGCUGGAAAUUCUCAGACAGGCGCCUAGCAAAGGAUGAAGCUGCUGAAGAGCCACACUCUCCCUGACACAACGACUCCUUAUGCCUGUAAACAUUCCCUUAAUGAAGCAUUAAAAGACCUAGCCUUCAAUUACCCUUGUUGUCUUUGUGAAUUUCAUGGGGAUUGUGUGUGUGUGUGUUGGAGAGGCAGGGAAGGAGUAUGGACAUUAAACUGAGGUAGGGAUGAGAUAUCUGAAUUUCUGCAAUACAGUGGAUGCUCGGGUUGCGAACGUGAUCCGUGCGGGAGGCACAUUCGCAACCCGCAGUGCUGCGUCUGCACACGUGCGGGUUGCAAUUCAGCACUUUUGCACAUGCACAAGCGCCAAAAUCCAAAAGUACCGUAUUUUUCGCUCUAUAAGACACACCUUUUCCCUCCUAAAAAGUAAGGGGAGAUGUGUGUACGUCUUAUGGAGCGAAUGCAGGCUUCUCGCAGCUAAGCCAGAAGCCAGAACAGCGAGAGGGAUUGCUGCGC
rnacentral:lncRNA from 1 species